rnacentral:rRNA from 1 species
AAGACCUUUGCCCUUGACUGGAUAACAGAGGAACUUCUGAUAAUACUGGAUAAGUUAGUAUAUCGCAUGAUAUGCAAAUGAAAGCUACGGCACUAAAGGAGAGCUUUGCGUCCUAUUAGCUAGUUGGUAAGGUAAGAGCUUACCAAGGCGAUGAUAGGUAGCCGGCCUGAGAGGGUGGACGGCCACAAGGGGACUGAGAUACGGCCCUUACUCCUACGGGAGGCAGCAGAC